rnacentral:lncRNA from 1 species
UGGCAAUCAUCCGCUCAUAGUAAAAAGAACUCAAGGUCUUCAAAAAGAUCUUGGUCAUCUCUUUCUCUUCUAGCAGGGGCACGAUCUGUGCUGCUACCUCUCGCCACCUCUGGGCGUAAUCUUUGAACGUUUCUUUGUCCUUCUGGGACAUAGCCCUCAAUUGAUCCCUAUCGGGAGCCAUAUCCACGUUAUACUUGUAUUGUUUGAUGAAGGCCUCGCCAUGGUCGUUGAAGG